CGGGGUUCACAGGUUUGGAUCCUGGGCACGGACCGAUGCACCGCUUAUCAAGUCAUGCUACGGCAGCAUCCCACAGAAAACAGAGGAAGACUGGCAAGAGAUG